rnacentral:rRNA from 1 species
GAUGAACGCUGGCGGCGUGCCUAAUACAUGCAAGUCGAGCGAACAGGCGAGGAGCUUGCUCCUCUGACGUUAGCGGCGGACGGGUGAGUAACACGUGGAUAACCUACCUAUAAGACUGGGAUAACUUCGGGAAACCGGAGCUAAUACCGGAUAAUAUAUUGAACCGCAUGGUUCAAUAGUGAAAGACGGUUUUGCUGUCACUUAUAGAUGGAUCCGCGCCGCAUUAGCUAGUUGGUAAGGUAACGGCUUACCAAGGCAACGAUGCGUAGCCGACCUGAGAGGGUGAUCGGCCACACUGGAACUGAGACACGGUCCAGACUCCUACGGGAGGCAGCAGUAGGGAAUCUUCCGCAAUGGGCGAAAGCCGGACGGAGCAACGCCGCGUGAGUGAUGAAGGUCUUCGGAUCGUAAAACUCUGUUAUUAGGGAAGAACAAAUGUGUAAGUAACUAUGCACGUCUUGACGGUACCUAAUCAGAAAGCCACGGCUAACUACGUG